CUGCAAGUAAUAAUAGAUAUGUAUUUGUUAUGCAAAGUGAUUUGUAGAUCAGUCAGUCUGCGUGUGGAGGAGGAUGAAGACCUUUAGUGACGUGCAGGACAUAGUAAAACACACACGCUAUCAAUGAUAUGCAGCUUUUCUCAUAGACGGGGGAGGUUACUAUGCAAAGGAAUGUGUUAGGAUUGGAAGUUUUCUCUUUGUUGUUUUUUUUAGAUGGUAUGGCCUCUGAGGACCCCCAAGACCAACUGGAUGAGGCUAUUAAAAAGGCAGAACACCUUGCUGAGGAGCUCAACUGAGAGAAGGAUCCACAAGCCUAACUGGAUGAGGCCAUUAACGAGGCAAAAAGACUGGCUGAGGAGCUCAACCCAGAACUGGAAAAUAAGAAGAAAAAGACAAACAAGCCUCUAGGGAUUAGGUUCAGAUGGAAACAAAGGGAUGAGAGAGGACAGAUUGUUCCUCAAACCAGAAAGGCAACUACAUCCACUUCUGUUGCUCCAAAGGCCAGUACAUCAAGAGCCAGACUAGUGCAACAUUUUGGGCCAGUCACUGAGGAGGAAGAAUCAGAGACAAGGACCAGUGGAUUGGAAUCCACUCCAGUUUUAAA